AUUUGGGUUCCUUCUCAUUUCAUUCUCCUAUAGAUCCUUGAUGCUAAACCCCUUCUGUCCAUUCCUCACAAAAAAAGCCCCAGUUUAACUUUUGGAGAAAGCCAUAUGGAACAGGAGUGAUCCACAUUUAUCCUAGAGGUUGCAAACUGACUAAAAGAGUCACCUUGGAGGAAGCCUGUUUCCGAAUGCUUGUGGUGUUUAUCAUUCUUCUGAAUGGCUGUGGCAUUUAUCUGCAGUUUUUACUUACCAGAUGAGACCUCAAACUUUUCAAAUUCUUCGGUGGCUUACACCUUCAUGGGAAAGCUUUUUGCUGAUUUCCUGUUGGUACUUUUCUCUUACACAUUCUAUGGG
rnacentral:lncRNA from 1 species